GGGCCCGCACAAGCGGUGGAGCAUGUGGUUUAAUUCGAUGAUACGCGAGGAACCUUACCAGGGCUUAAAUGGGAGAUGACAGGGGCAGAGACGCCCUUUUCUUCGGACAUCUUUCAAGGUGCUGCAUGGUUGUCGUCAGCUCGUGCCGUGAGGUGUCAGGUUAAGUCCUAUAACGAGCGCAACCCCUACCGUUAGUUGCCAGCGAUUCAAGUCGGGGACUCUAACGGGACUGCCGGUGCAAACCGUGAGGAAGGUGGGGACGACGUCAAGUCAGCAUGGCCCUUAUAUCUUGGGCUACACACGUGUUACAAUGGUAGUGACAGUGAGAUGCAACAGGGCGACCUUGAGCAAAUCUAUAAAAACUAUCUCAGUUCGGAUUGCACCCUGCAACUCGGGUGCAUGAAGUUGGAAUCGCUAGUAAUCG
rnacentral:rRNA from 1 species